AAACUUAAAAUGGUAUUUAGAAGAAAUUUAUUAAUAAACAGAAAAAAAAGAAAUUCAGAGUGAGAUUUCCAGAUCAUUCCCUCCUCCCCCCCCACCCCAACUUCCGUAUUUCUUAACAACAACAUACAGAGAACACAGUUUUCUACUUAAAUAGCAAUUUCAGUUCACUCUAGUGAGAAAAGUUCCUUUUUUGGUUUAGGCAUAGAGGGGGUUGUCUUCACUUUCACAAUUUGCAUCUGCCCGGGUAAAAUCUGCAAAUCAUGAACUUCCUCUCAUCUUCAGAGUCUUUCCAGAGCUGUGUUAUGGGUUAUGUCACACACAUGGGGGUAUUACUUUUAAGGGAAAGCUGUUAAAAGACAAAAAAUUCUCAUAUUUUUUUUUUCCAUCAAAUAUCUUUUUCCAUUUUUCCAGUCUCCGGAACAGAGAGCCCCAUUCCCUCGAGACAAAGGAUCUUUCUCCUCCAGCUCUUCAACGCCCCCCCCCCCGGGGUAUUAGUUUUAAGGGCGAGCUAUUCAAAGACAAAAAUUCUCUUCAUCUCUUUUUUUCAUCAAAUGUCUCUGUCCAUCUUUCCAGUCUCUAGGACAUAGAGCCCCAUUCCCUCGAGACAGAGGAUCUUUUUCCUCUAGCUCUUCAGCCCCCCCAAGUAGUUUCCCACAAUUUAAAGGAAUUUCAGUGUAGUCCACUCCUCUCAUAGCCCACAAAAAAGGUUUUUCAGCUAACUUGAUUAGUAGCGUCUCUUCCCGUUUAGAAACUUAGCUUUCACUUCACUGACUUCAGUGGAGUCCCUGCUUUAUUCCUCUCAUUCAGGGGAGCUCAGGAGAUCUGUAUUCUUAUCCAGGCAUUAGAAGGGUUAAAAUUGCACCCAGAAGGUGAAGGAGCUGGGUCAGACCAUGCUGGAAAACAUGCCGGGGCUUUUUCAGGCUGCACGGGCUGUGUGGAGGAGGAGAUGAAACUGCAAAGCCCAGCUGCACUUCCCAUGCUGAGUGGGCAGCUGGGGGGGCUUCUCCUCCCCCUAGCUGCUUCCAAAACGGCAGCAGAGCCCAGAUCGGACGAGCUGCGGCCACACUGGAGAGGGACCAGGACCCCAGCAAAGGUCUCCCUUUCCCCUGGCCACCAGGGCCCCCAGCCAAAAACAGGGGGGGGGGGGGGCCUCGGUGGGCUCCCCCUCCCCUGCCCGGCCAGGCCGCAUGGGGGGGGAGGGGGGCCGUUGUUACCUGCUUCUUUGACGGAAGUAAAAAGAAGCAGAUUAACUUUACCAGUGUAAUUUAUGAAAGCGAAAUAACUUUUCAAUUGGUUACCCGGGCUGUCAACCACCAAAUCAGCUCUCUGGUUGGUCCCUGCAGCCCA
rnacentral:lncRNA from 12 species